rnacentral:rRNA from 1 species
GGUUGCUUGCAAGGGCGUAUGGUGGAUGCCUUGGCAGACAGUACCGAUGAAGGACGUUUGAGGCUGCGAUAUGCCUCGGGGAGCCGCCAGCAGGGCUUUGAUCCGAGGAUUUCCGAAUGGGGGAACCCGCCGGCCGUCAUGGGCCGGCACCGCGUUCGCGCGGGGGGUACGCAGGGAAGUGAAACAUCUCAGUACCUGCAGGAAAGGAUGUUCCGUGAGUAGUGGCGAGCGAAAGCGGAUCAGGCCAAACCGCGCGCGUGUGACAGGCGCCAGCCGUUGCGCGCGUGGUGUUGAGGGAGCGUGUGUCCGGGUCCUGGCGGGCCCGGCCGGAGUGAUAAAACGGCGUGUGAGGCGAACCGGAUUGAAUGCCGGGCCGCAGAGGGUGAUGGCCCCGUAGCCGAACGCGCGUCGUCUCCGGAUCGUGUUUCCCAAGUAGCGCGGGACUCGUGGAAUCCCGUGUGAAUCCGCCCCGACCGUGGGGUAAGCCUAGAUAUACCUGUCUGACCGAUAGCGAACUAGUACCGUGAGGGAAAGGUGAAAAGCACCCCGGGAGGGGAGUGAAACAGUCUCUGAAACCGUGCGCUUACAAACCGUCGGAGCCUUUCGGGGUGACGGCGUGCCUAUCGAAAAAUGAGUCUGCGAGUCAGUGGCACGUGGCGAGCGUAACCCGUGUGGGGUACGCGUAGCGAAGGCGAGUCUCAAAAGGCGUUUGAGUCGCGUGUCCUGGACCCGAAGCGGGAUGAUCUAGCCCUGAGCAGGUUGAAGCGCGGGUAAGACCGCGUGGAGGACCGAACCCACCUGGGUUGAAAACCGGGGGGAUGACUUGGGGCUAGGGGUGAAAGGCCAAUCAAAUUCCGUGAUAGCUGGUUCUCUCCGAAAUGCAUUUAGGUGCAGCGUCGGGGAUUACGUCCGGGGGGUAGAGCUACUGGAUGCUUGAGGGCCCGUAUCGGGUACCGACAGCAGCCAAACUCCGAAUACCCGUGACGCGUAUCCCGGCAGUGAGUCGGCGGGGGAUAAGCUCCGUCGUCGAAAGGGAGACAGCCCAGAUCGUCGUCUAAGGUCCCCAAGCGCGUGCUAAGUGGGAAAGGAUGUGGAGUCGCAUAGACAGCCAGGAGGUUGGCUCAGAAGCAGCCACCCUUGAAAGAGUGCGUAACAGCUCACUGGUCUAGUGGUUCCGCGCCGACAAUGUAGCGGGGCUCAAGCACGCCACCGAAGACGCGGCAGCGUCCGUUUGGAUGCUGGGUAGGAGAGCGUCCCCAUCGGGGCGAAGCGGCGGCGCAAGCCUGCCGUGGACCGUUGGGGAGUGAGAAUGCAGACAUGAGUAGCGAGAGGCGGGUGCGAAUCCCGCCCGCUGGAUGACCAAGGGUUCCGGGGCCACGUUCGUCGUCCCCGGGUGAGUCGGGUCCUAAGGCGAGGCCGACAGGCGUAGUCGAAUGGAUGAACGGGCUGAUAUUCCCGUACCGGCAGCGAACCGAAACAACCGAGGCCUGGGGCGCUAACCUCCGGGCCCGUGCCGUCUCCCCUUUCGGGGGGUCGCGGCGCGGGCGCGUUGGGAUCCCCCCUUGUAGUAGGUCAGCGCAGGAGUGACGCAUCAGGGCAGCCGGCCGCGGAGGUGGUUUUCCGUGGUCAAGCGUUCGAGCCCGUCCCGCAGGCAAAUCCGCGGGGCGUCGGGGCGAGGCGUGAUGAUGGGGGCCUUACGGCCCGAAUCCGGUGAUCCGUGGUGCCGAGAAAAGCUUCGGCGUCAGGCGCGUUGCCGCCCGUACCCCAAACCGACACUGGUGGUCAGGUAGAGAAUACCAAAGCGAUCGAGCGAAUCCUGGUCAAGGAACUCGGCAAAUUGCUCCCGUGCCUUCGGCAUAAGGGAGACCCCCUGCGGUGAUGAGCGGCGGGGGGUGGCACAGGCCAGGGGGUAGCGACUGUUUACCAAAAACACAGGAGCGUGCGAAGGCGCAAGCCGCUGUAUACGCUCUGACGCCUGCCCGGUGCCGGAAGGUUAAGAGGAUCCGUCAGCUUCUGCGAAGCGGUGAAUUCAAGCCCCGGUAAACGGCGGUGGUAACUAUAACCAUCCUAAGGUAGCGAAAUUCCUUGUCGGGUAAGUUCCGACCUGCACGAAUGGCGUAACGACUUCCCCACUGUCUCGACCAGGAGCUCGGCGAAAUUGCAGUACGAGUAAAGAUGCUCGUUAAGCGCAGAAGGACGAAAAGACCCCGGGACCUUUACUAUACCUUGGUAUUGGCAUUAGGCGCGGAUUGUGUAGCAUAGGCGGGAGGCUUCGAGGCGGGUGCGCCAGCAUCCGCGGAGCCGCAAGGUGAAAUACCGCUCUGUUCUCGUUUGAUGUCUAACCUCGAACAGUCAUCCUGUUCAGGGACAGUGCCUGGCGGGUAGUUCAACUGGGGCGGUUGCCUCCCAAAGAGUAACGGAGGCGCUCAAAGGUCCGCUCAGC